CAGUAGCCACGGUAAUACGAAGGGUGCAAGCGUUAAUCGGAAUUACUGGGCGUAAAGCGUGCGUAGGCGGUGAGUUAAGUCUGCUGUGAAAUCCCCGGGCUCAACCUGGGAAUGGCAGUGGAUACUGGCUCGCUAGAGUGUGUCAGAGGAUGGUGGAAUUCCCGGUGUAGCGGUGAAAUGCGUAGAGAUCGGGAGGAACAUCAGUGGCGAAGGCGGCCAUCUGGGACAACACUGACGCUGAGGCGCGAAAGCCAGGGGAGCGAACGGGAUUAGAUACCCCAGUAGUCCCUGUCUCUUAUAC
rnacentral:rRNA from 1 species